AGUUAACAAGAUCCGCGACGCAACAAAUCAGGUGUGUAUGUAUUAUAGCAUAGUUUUAAAUGUUCUUUUGUUUCUGGCCAAAAAUUAAAGUUCAUCAUAACUAAUGGACAAAUAUUGCCAUAUUUUUACCUCAAUAACUACUCUGUGAACAGACUUAACUGUGCAGUUUGAAAAGUUGUAAGGCCUAGCACCACCUGGAUAUAUAAUAGUUAACUGAAUUUUGUAUACAUAUCAGAAGAUAAAUCAGGUUUUUCUGUUUUAUUUCAAUGGGUAUUUUUUUGGUUCCUUACGAAGGUGUAAAAAUAAACUAAGUUUGGAUACAACUUUGAGAUACUCCCUCUCAGGUAACACCUGAUUUGAAUUGUUUUGGUUGUUUUUUAAUGGCAUGGACACUAAACAUCUACACAUAUAUAGGUGAGUUAAAGGUAGCAACUGAGUGGACAGUUUCAAAUACAACUAAGGUUUGUAUUUUUACCCAUUGAUCACGAAGGAAAAAAAGUACCCAUCAAAAUCUAAAAACGGUUUUAUUUUUCUGAAACACAAAAUGCAUUUAACUAUUAUAUAUGUAGUGGAUGCCAGGCCUUAAAUUUUCUACAGAGGUAAGUCGUUACACAGAUAGCUUAUAAGGAUAUGUACCCUUGUGUUGAUCAAUGCUAAAAUACUGAUAUUUUAUAGAAAUCAAGUAUUUCCCGUUGCACUCAUAUUAGCAAUUCGAUACAGUCCUUGGAUGGUGUAAACUGCGCAUUAACACCAUACGCCAUCACCGUACACCAUGUGCCAGUAACCACACACGUUACACCUUUGGCAUCAUACACCUAAACACAUAACACCAUAGGCAAUUUAAUUUCAAAGAAACUGCGACUACAAAAUUAUUUAUUAAAAAAAACAUUUUAUAACCAAUAUUGUAAACUAAUGUAUAAAUUAAAAACAUUCUUCUUAUAUUUUCAUAGUUUUAAAUGUCAUAUACACUCUUAAAUUACACUUUCCCAAUCGUUUUUUUACACCAUCACACCAUUCCCUUACAACAUACACCUUGUACCAUUGCACCAUAUGAUUUACACCAUUACAACAUACAUGUUUUUUGGGAAGUUUACACCAUCCAAUUUUUGUUACAAAAAGGUAUAAACAACCUUUUUUUCAAAUAAACCUUGUUCUGAUCAAAGCCGAGUGCCCCCUAGAAGGUGUACUUGAAUUGGUUCAUAUUGGCUGUACUUGAUACACAAGGAUAGAUAGAAAUUAAUUCCAUGCAGUGCUUUUUUUCUGGCCAAAAAUUAAAGUUCAUCAUAACUAAUGGACAAAUAUUGCCAUAUUUUUACCUCAAUAACUACUCUGUGAACAGACUUAACUGUGCAGUUUGAAAAGUUGUAAGGCCUAGCACCACCUGGAUAUAUAAUAGUUAACUGAAUUUUGUAUACAUGUAUCAGAAAGAUAAAAUCAGGUUUUUCUGUUUUAUUUCAAUGGGUAUUUUUUUGGUUCCUUACGAAGGUGUAAAAAUAAACUAAGUUUGGAUACAACUUUGAGAUACUCCCUCUCAGGUAACACCUGAUUUGAAUUGUUUUGGUUGUUUUUUAAUGGCAUGGACACUAAACAUCUACACAUAUAUAGGUGAGUUAAAGGUAGCAACUGAGUGGACAGUUUCAAAUACAACUAAGGUUUGUAUUUUUACCCAUUGAUCACGAAGGAAAAAAAGUACCCAUCAAAAUCUAAAAACGGUUUUAUUUUUCUGAAACACAAAAUGCAUUUAACUAUUAUAUAUGUAGUGGAUGCCAGGCCUUUAAAUUUUCUACAGAGGUAAGUCGUUACACAGAGUAGCUUAUAAGGAUUAUGUACCCUUGUGUUGAAUCAAUGCUAAACAUACUGAUAUUUUAUAGAAAAUCAAGUAUUUCCCGUUGCACUCUCAUAUUUAGCAAUUCGAUACAGUCCUUGGAUGGUGUAAACUGCGCAUUAACACCAUACGCCAUUACACCGUACACCAUGUGCCAGUACACCACACACGUUACACCUUUGCAUCAUACACCUAACACAUAACACCAUAGUGCAAUUUAAUUUCAAAGAAAGCGUGCGACUACAAAAUUAUUUAUUUAUUUAAAAAAAACAUAUUUUGAUAACAAUAUUGUAAACUAAUGUAUAAAUUAAAAAACAAUUCUUCUUAAUAUUUUGCAUAGUUUUAAAUGUCAUAUACACUCUUAAAUUACACCUUUCCCAAUCGUUUUUUACACCAUCACACCAUUCCCCUUACAACAUACACCUUGUACCAUUGCACCAUAUGAUUUACACCAUUACAACAUACAUGUUUUUUGGGAAGUUUACACCAUCCAAUUUUUGUUACAAAAAGGUAUAAACAACCUUUAUUUUCAAAUAAACCUUGUUCUGAGUCACUAAAGCCGAGUGCCCCCUAGAAGGUGUACUUGAAUUGGUUCAUAUUGGCUGUACUUGAUACACAAGGAUAGAUAGAAAUUAAUUCCAUGCAGUGCUAGCAAUGCUUGCAUUAAAGCAAGUUUAUAAAUUUAGAUAUUGGUUAAUACAAAUAUAAAUAUGGACCAAUUCAAGUACACUAAAUAGGAGGGCAAUCGACUUUAGUGAUUCAGCACAAGGUAUAUUUGAGAAUUAAGUUUCUUGAUAUAUGUACAAAAUGGACCAUCUCUAAUAUUCAUUAUCUUAGCUGUUUACUAUUGCAGUUUGAAAAUUUCGUAAUUCACAGGCCACAUAAGAGGUUGUAAACCUUAAGGUAUAAACCCGGCCAUAUUUGUCAAUUUGAAAUGAUGAACCUUAAGUUUGAUUUCAUUUCAGAACGUAUCAGCAUUAAAAGGUUAUUUACAAUAUCGUUAUAAGGCCUUAUUUGAGUAUUGAAUAAAAUCUGAUUAAAACGUGUUAAACAUGGCGCUCUUCAAAGAUGCCUUUAACUUUGAACAGUGAUUCGGUAGAUGAUAUUGAUUCUGUAUUAUCAUUCUAAUAUAUUCUAAAAUACUGCUACUACAACAAUAUAUUUUGACAUAUUUAGUCUUCAUUCAUAGAUCAUGAUAACAGGAAUUAGGAGAAUUACAAAUAAAACAAACAAUAUCAAUCCUUUACACUCAGUCUGGUAUCUUCAGAACAGAUUCACAUUCCAACAAAAAAUAUCAAGAUGCAUAACAAAUAAAAUUGUGUCCUUACCUGUAAGGAUAUUUUUUGUUGAUGAUGCAAAUUUAUUCGUCAUAUCUUAGAAUAAACUUCUUUUAAUGAAAAAUAUACAUAUGACAAUAUUAAAUACAGUGCUUACGCUAUCAUGUGGUACAUAUCGCUUUGAGGUCAGUGUAGUAAAGUCACAGAAGUGAUAUUUAUUUUGGAAUAUAUUUUAGACAUGGCACAGGUUUUGGCAGUUCCAGGAGAUGUUAGACACAGCUUUUCCUAUGUAGGCAAUUUUAACCAUGACUUCGGCCGAAUAACUGGAAUAUCAGCUACAUCAAAGGGGAAUAUUUUGUUAUGUGACUAUGAUAAAAAGAAUAUAAUAUUAGUUGAUGCUCUUGGAAAUUAUAUAACGAAGCUUAACGUAGACAGUGAGCCAUAUGAUGUCGCUAUCACGAGUCAAAAUAUAGGCUAUAUAACACAACCUAAAUCCAGGUCUGUUCUACAAAUCGAUCCUGAUAGAAUGGUGGAACUAUUCAAAGCAACUUUCAACGAUCUAAGCACUACUGUGUUUUGUGUCUCAGCGAUCCCAAAUACUGGAAAGGAUUUUUCUAAAGAAAAAUCUAUUUAUCUGGGCGUCAAAAUAAAAGGCUUUUCAUAUGCAUUUGCUGUCAAUCACGAUGAAAU
rnacentral:lncRNA from 1 species